UACGUAGGGUGCAGGCGUUAAUCGGAAUUACUGGGCGUAAAGCGUGCGCAGGCGGUUUCUUAAGUCAGAUGUGAAAGCCCCGGGCUUAGCCUGGGAACUGCGUUUGAAACUGGGAGACUUGAGUGUGGCAGAGGGGGGGUGGAAUUCCACGUGUAGCAGUGAAAUGCGUAGAUAUGUGGAGGAACACCGAUGGCGAAGGCAGCCCCCCUGGGUUAACACUGACGCUCAUGCACGAAAGCGUGGGGAGCAAACAGG
rnacentral:rRNA from 1 species